UAACAUUUCACAGUUUAUUCUAUGAUCUUUGCAACAGAGAGAAUUGCUCAUAGAGAAUAAUUCUGUCCAUCUGCCAUAUUAGGUUUUUUUUUUUAUUAUUACAGUUUACAUUCAACAUCUUUUGUAUUAAUUUCAGGUAUACAGCAUGGUGGCCAGACAACCAUAUACCCUACAAGACAUUCCCCCUGAUAUUUCCAGAACCCACCUGUACCACACAUAGCCAGCACAACAUUAUUGACUGUGCCCCAUCCAGUACUUCACAUCCCAUGACUAUUUUGGCACAUGAUUAUAAUGGUGAAUGUUUGAAAACAAACACUACAAGGCGAAUGGUGAUGAUGGACAAAGAUGGAGACAAAGUUGGGAAGAGCAUCACAACGAAAACCGAACCUUUCACCCUGGGGAAGAGCAAGCUCUAGAGUCUGGUGCCCCGGGCAGGGGGUCCUGCUCCAUGUUCUCGCCUGGCAGGUGGCAUGGUCUCAGCCCACUCUGCUGAAAAGGGGAGGCCCGGAGAGCCUGCAGCAGGCACUGACCUGGUUAUUGGACGCCACCUUCCCAUCGUGGUUGCCCUCCAUCAUCGUC